GGGUUGUGAGGUUAAGCGACUAAGCGUACACGGUGGAUGCCCUGGCAGUCAGAGGCGAUGAAGGACGUGCUAAUCUGCGAUAAGCGCCGGUAAGGUGAUAUGAACCGUUAUAACCGGCGAUUUCCGAAUGGGGAAACCCAGUGUGACUCGUCACACUAUCAUUAACUGAAUCCAUAGGUUAAUGAGGCGAACCGGGGGAACUGAAACAUCUAAGUACCCCGAGGAAAAGAAAUCAACCGAGAUUCCCCCAGUAGCGGCGAGCGAACGGGGAGGAGCCCAGAGCCUGAAUCAGCAUGUGUGUUAGUGGAAGCGUCUGGAAAGGCGCGCGAUACAGGGUGACAGCCCCGUACACAAAAGCGCAUGUGUUGUGAGCUCGAUGAGUAGGGCGGGACACGUGGUAUCCUGUCUGAAUAUGGGGGGACCAUCCUCCAAGGCUAAAUACUCCUGACUGACCGAUAGUGAACCAGUACCGUGAGGGAAAGGCGAAAAGAACCCCGGCGAGGGGAGUGAAAAAGAACCUGAAACCGUGUACGUACAAGCAGUGGGAGCACCCUUCGGGGUGUGACUGCGUACCUUUUGUAUAAUGGGUCAGCGACUUAUAUUCUGUAGCAAGGUUAACCGAAUAGGGGAGCCGGAGGGAAACCGAGUCUUAACCGGGCGUUAAGUU
rnacentral:rRNA from 1 species